rnacentral:misc_RNA from 1 species
GGUUCGGUUCGGUUCGAAUCGAAUGCUCACCCCUAGCCAACCCUGUGGAGAAAUGCAACAUCUCUUAUAAGCUCCAAGUGGCAUCGGAAUAUGCAUCUUCCCCGAUGAAGGAUCAAAGACUUUGGUGGAUCACUGUAUUCCCUUUCUGCUAGAAUUAGCUGUGGAACCUUUCUGGGUCCAUUGUAGAUGUCCUUGGUUGCAGCUGAUCACACUCCUUAAUCUUUAUAGGAAAGAUAGCAAUUUGGCAAUCAAGAUUUGCUGUAGCAUAUUGUCACGGACUAAGUGAUUUCAACACCAAAACCAUGCAGCACUUAGC